UACGUAGGGUGCAAGCGUUGUUCGGAAUUACUGGGCGUAAAGGGCCAGUAGGCGGCCAACUAAGUCGGAUGUGAAAUCCCCAGGCUUAACCUGGGAACUGCAUCCGAUACUGGAUGGCUUGAAUUCGGGAGAGGGAUGCAGAAUUCCAGGUGUAGCGGUGAAAUGCGUAGAUAUCUGGAGGAAUACCGGUGGCGAAGGCGGCAUCCUGGACCGACAUUGACGCUGAACGGCGAAAGCUAGGGGAGCAAACGGG
rnacentral:rRNA from 1 species